AAGUGUUUGAAGCUACCACAUGAAGAUUGAGUUGAUUAACAGAAAAAGGUUGGAAAAAAUGAAUAUUUUAGAAUUUUCGAAGUAAUAAAGUUUUAGUUUGAAAAAGAUGCUCAAAGAGCCACCCCCGGUAUCAUAUUAAUUAAAUCUCUAUUUUGAACGGAUUGCGACAAAUUGGUGUCAAUUUUACCGAAUUUCUAAAAAUCAUUUUUCGUAAACCGUUAUAUCUUGAUGAUUUUGAAACUUGAGAU
rnacentral:lncRNA from 1 species